rnacentral:tRNA from 1 species
GUAGGUUUUUAAAGGAGUAAAAAUAUAAUAACGUCGCAUUCGUAAUGCGAAGGUCGUAGGUUCGACUCCUAUUAUCGGCACCA